UACAGAGGUCUCGAGCGUUAGGCGGAAUCACUGGGCUUAAAGCGUGUGUAGGUGGAUGCCUAAGUACCUUGUGAAAUCCCACAGCUUAACUGUGGAACUGCUUGGUAUACUGGGUGUCUUGAGUCACUCAGGGGCGAGCGGAACAAAUGGUGGAGCGGUGAAAUGCGUAGAGAUUCGGAAGAACACCCAUGGCGAAGGCAGCACUCUAGAUUUGACCUGACGCUGAGGCACGAAAGCCAGGGGAGCAAACGGG
rnacentral:rRNA from 1 species